AACGAACGCUGGCGGCAUGCCUAACACAUGCAAGUCGAACGAGACCUUCGGGUCUAGUGGCGCACGGGUGCGUAACGCGUGGGAACCUGCCCGUAGGUUCGGAAUAACUCCCCGAAAGGGGUGCUAAUACCGGAGAAUGUCUUCGGACCAAAGAUUUAUCGCCUUUGGCUGGGCCCGCGUUGGAUUAGCUAGUUGGUAGGGUAAAAGCCUACCAAGGCGACGAUCCAUAGCUGGUCUGAGAGGAUGAUCAGCCACACUGGGACUGAGACACGGCCCAGACUCGUACGGGAGGCAGGAGUGGGGAAUAUUGGACAAUGGGCGAAAGCCUGAUCCAGCAAUGCCGCGUGAGUGAUGAAGGCCUUAGGGUUGUAAAGCUCUUUUACCCGGGAUGAUAAUGACAGUACCGGGAGAAUAAGCUCCGGCUAACUCCGUG
rnacentral:rRNA from 1 species